rnacentral:lncRNA from 1 species
UCCAAACGAAAAAUAGGCAAAUUAAUGGAUAUUGCACAAACAUUAGAAAUUUUUACCAAAAUAUUUACCAAAGCUCUAUCAAGUAUGAAAAAGGGAUACAUUUUGCUCAUGAGACCAGGAAAACAAAAAAGUUUUUAUAAGAAAUCAGCUAAAGAUGAAGAGCUGAAUAUAGAAAUUCUCCUUCUCUUUCUAGUUUCUAAGAUAUCUUGUGAAACAGAAAAUCCAUCAAGUACAGAUCUAAGAGCUUGAUGAACAGAUCCAGCAACAAACUCGAUACUCGACAUCUUCAAAAUUCUGUUCUUUGCAGCUAAUUAUAACAACGACAUUCUUUAUUCUACCUCCCAAAGUUGCAAUCUUUGCCUUUAUUAUCAUAGGAUGAAGUGCAUCAAGUGCUUUUCUUAUAUCAGACAAUAAAUCCGGUUUGUAUUGACAACAUAGUGAUGCUCUAAUUGAAUAAGGGAAACCAUUUAAUCCACCUUCUUGUGAUUCAACUCUUAUCUCAUCGCAGUCUAAUAAUUAACCCUUCACUUGCUUGUGCUGCACCGGAGACACCGCAAUGCUAUGACGACAAUCACUUUCGGUAAUUUUGUUGAAUGUGAGUCACCAUCACCACCCCAAGAACCAACUUUUUGACUUGAUGAUGUCUUUGCUUUUCCUUUAGUAGAUGUUGAAGGUACUGCCCUUGAAACUUGGUUUGGAUUAUUUGCUUUUUGGCUUGUAGAGGAUUUUUUAUCAUCUUGGCUUUGAUCUCUUAGAGCAUAUAAUUUGGAGAUUUCUCCAACUGACAUGGUAUGGCUUGCAGCACCUUUUGCUGAUCUAUGAUUCUUUUGAUCCUUAGUGUUUUGUCCUUCCCAUGGCCUUGAAGCCAUCCAUCUAUCAAGCCAAUUCCAUCUCCAAUGGGGAUUGUUUGGAUCCAUAAUUGUGGCAUCUGUAGGUUUUGAAGAGUUCCUCCAUGUUUGCUGUUAGAGAAAUUAAGCUAUAGGUUAUUAUCCAUAUAAACUAUUUCAUGUUUGCUUAUGAUAAACCUUAAAUGAAUAAAUUAUAAGUACAGUGUAAUCAGAACUGCCAAUAAACAGUCAAUUACAUGACUGCUUAGUUAAAAAUCGUAAAAUAUGAUGUAGCGAAUUGAAGAGUUGCAAUUGAAUGUUAGUGUAAAAUAACUUUUGAGUGACAAUGCAUAUCCCUUAAUCUCGAAUCUUAAACCUACCAACAUGAACAAUAUGGAUGUAUAGAGUAGUAUUCUUAUAAAAAUGACUGUGUGGCCUUCACUCUAUGUGUCACAUUCGAAAUUCAAUGCUUUUGUUUAGACUUGAUUUUUAAAUUAAGUUAUCUAAUUUGAAUUUCCCUCUAAUUGAUUCAUUUUUAUAGGAAAACCAAAAUGG